GACGAACGCUGGCGGCGUGCUUAACACAUGCCAGUCGAACGGAAGGGCCCUGCUUUUGUGGGGUGCUCGAGUGGCGAACGGGUGAGUAACACGUGAGUAAACUGCCCUUGACUUUGUGAUAACUUCAGGAAACUGGGGCUAAUACCGGAUAGGAGCUCCUGCUGCAUGGUGGGGGUUGGAAAGUUUCGGCGGUUGGGGAUGGGAUCGAGGCUUAUCCGCUUGUUGGUGGGGUAGUGGCUUACCAAGGCUUUGACGGGUAGCCGGCCUGAGAGGGUGACCGGCCACAUGGGGACUGCGAGACGGCCCAGACGCGUACGGGCGGCAGCAGUGGGGAAUAUUGCACAAUGGGCGGAAGCCUGAUGCAGCAACGCCGCGUGCGUGAUGACGGCUUUCGGGUGGUAAACCGCUGUCUCCGGUGACGAAGCGGGAGUGACGGUAAUGGGUAAAGAAGCACCGGCUAACUACGUG
rnacentral:rRNA from 1 species